rnacentral:rRNA from 1 species
UACGUAGGGGGGCAAGCGUUGUCCGGAAUCAUUGGGCGUAAAGAGCGCGUAGGCGGCCCCUGUAAGUCCGCUGUGAAAGUCAAGGGCUCAACCCUUGAAUGCCGGUGGAUACUGCAGGGCUAGAGUCCGGAAGAGGCGAGUGGAAUUCCUGGUGUAGCGGUGAAAUGCGCAGAUAUCAGGAGGAACACCGGUGGCGAAGGCGGAUCUCUGGGCCAUUACUGACGCUGAGGAGCGAAAAGCGUGGGGGAGCGAACAGG